rnacentral:rRNA from 1 species
UUUAAAUGUAAAUAUAUUACUUAAUUAUUAUUAGUUAUAUUCUUGAAAAUUAAAGAUUUUGGCGGUAUUUUAGUCUAUUCAGAGGAACCUGUCCUAUAAAUGAUAAUCCACGAUUUAUAUUACUUAUUUUAUAAAUUUGUAUAUCGUCGUUGUUUGAAUAUUUUAAAAGAAAUAAAUAUUUUUGAUUUUUUAUAAUAAAAUAAAUCAGAUCAAGGUGCAGUUAAUAAAUAAGUAGAGAUGGGUUACAAUAAAGUUAUUUAUAUGGUUAUUUAAAUUAAAUUUUUUAUAUAAAUUGGAUUUGAAAGUAAUAUUAAUUAAUUUAUUAAUAUGAUUUUAGCUCUAAAAUAUGC